rnacentral:rRNA from 1 species
AGAGUUUGAUCCUGGCUCAGGACGAACGCUGGCGGCGUGCUUUAGGCAUGCAAGUGGAACGAACUAAUUUCGGUUAGUGAGUCGCGAACGGCUGAGUAACACGUAGGAAUCUACCCCUUGGUGGAGAAUACCUAUUCGAAAGAAUAGUUAAUACUGCAUAAGAUCCAAGGAUGAAAGGGCGUAACUGCCCGCCGAGGGAGGAGCCUGCGGCCCAUCAGCUUGUUGGUAGGGUAAUGGCCUACCAAGGCUACGACGGGUAGGGGGCGUGAGAGCGUGUUCCCCCAGAAAGGCACUGAGAUACGGGCCUUACACCUACGGGUGGCAGCAACCGGGAAUCGUGCGCAAUGGACGAAAGUCUGACGCCGCGGCGCCGCGUGAGGGAUGACGGCCUUAGGGUUGUAAACCUCUUUUACCAGAAGGGAGACCGACUGGAGAAUAAGCACCCGCUAACUACGUGCCAGCAGCUGCGGUAAUACGUAGGGUGCGAGCGUUGUCCGGAUUUAUUGGGCGUAAAGAGUUCGUAGGCUUUUUGAUAAGUUAUGUUUCAAAGACCGGGGCUUAACCUCGGAAAGGGGCAUAAUACUGUCAAAAUUGAAGAAUGUUGGGGUUACUGGAAUUGUCGGUGUAGGGGUGAAAUCCGUUGAUAUCGACAAGAACAGCAAGGGCGAAGGCGGGUAACUGGGCAUUUCUUGACGCUGAGGAACGAAAGCUAGGGUAGCGAAAGCGAUUAGAGACCGCUGUAGUCCUAGCCGUAAACGAUGCUCGCUAGGGAUGGGGGAUUUAUCUUCUGUCUCGCAAGCUAACGCGUUAAGCGAGCCGCCUGGGGAGUACGGUCGCAAGACUAAAACUCAAAUGAAUUGACGG